rnacentral:rRNA from 1 species
UAACGCUGAGGUGUGAUGACGAGGCACUACGGUGCUGAAGUGACAAAUGCCCUGCUUCCAGGAAAAGCCUCUAAGCAUCAGGUAACAUCAAAUCGUACCCCAAACCGACACAGGUGGUCAGGUAGAGAAUACCAAGGCGCUUGAGAGAACUCGGGUGAAGGAACUAGGCAAAAUGGUGCCGUAACUUCGGGAGAAGGCACGCUGAUGGUAAGUGAAG